rnacentral:sRNA from 1 species
CCCAAAGAUCGGGAAUAGGAGUAUAUCGAACUCCUAGUACGACCCGAGGUAGCCUGUGGAUAGCAGAUAUCGUCAGGGAUUAUAGUCGGCUUUACUACUCCAAAAACUGUAGGUUUACUGCCUUUAUGCACUUUUGUUCCUUGUGGGCCCACGAGUCACUGUAAAGUAAAUUUCUUAUUUCGGUUAUCUGUAUUAUAGUACGUAUGAAUUUAUUUAGCUUUUACAUUAUAAAAAUUAUUUA